rnacentral:SRP_RNA from 1 species
CCGUGCUAAGCGGGGAGGUAGCGGUGCCCUGUACUCGCAAUCCGCUAUAGCGAGGCUGAAUUCCCAUCUUAGGUGAGGCGAUUUUAUGGUCUGCCUUAAGGAAUUGGUGUUGACGCUCAGGUCCUGCGCAAUGGGGACCCAUGAAUCCUGUCAGGUCCGGAAGGAAGCAGCAGUAAGUGGUCAUCUCUGUGUGCCGCGGGAUAGCCUAGGCCGAGCCAUGAACUUAAGUAACGCAUAGGAUCGUCACAUCGACGAUGGGUGCACGG